UUUACGAAAUAUAGAGAAACAAGUCUUGUUCUGCAUUCCUGUGAAUCUUGUGUCUCUUUUGAUGACCCUAUAUUAAAUUAAUUGUUUAUAGUUUAAAAGUUUUUGAAAUUCCUUUUUUAAAGUUUUUUUCUAUUCUUUUUAGUCUAUAUGUUUUAAUGUUUAGAAUAUACAAUUUAGCACCAUAAGUAAAUAUUAUACCUGUGUUUCUUUAAAUUUGAUUGAAUUUACAAAAGCGUUCUAGUGUACUUUUUAUGAGAACCUUGAAUUUAAGGCACAUACCUGUAUGCUUUUAAGAAUUUUAAGAUGAUAAGAAAAAAUCAAUUUGAAUUUUUUAGGUUGGUUUAAUUUAUGACAUAAGGGCAUUUUUCCAGAACGUAAUCUCUUUUCAUAGAAAUGUGUUCAUUUGAGUAUUUGGACUGCCUUUUGUGUGACACACUAGUCAAAACUUAGAUACACAUAAUGCAUGUAGAUAAUCAUAAUAUACUGUGGUACAUGCAUGUACAUGUAUAUAUACAUGUAUGAUGCAAUAGGUAGCCAAGCUAGGACGUUUUUAAAAUUGUUUUUUUCCCUACAAAACACUUUGAAAGCUUUAUGUAUCUAAUUUUGAUAAGACUGUAAUGAAAGAUCAUAUUACAUGUACUUUGGUUUUAAUAUUGUCACAGUGAAUUUGUAAAUGCAUGGUUCUCUUAAUUAAUCUUUAUAUUCUAAUUUAAUGCAAUUUUAUUGUACAAUGCAGAGUAUACUUAAUUUCUGUGUAAUGCCAAAUGAAACCAUGCAAUAUGAAUUUAUAAAAGUUACUACUUAAUGCAUUAUUUUGUAUUAUUUGUUAUAUUGUUCUAUUUAUGAGGAAAACUGGUGUUCAUGGAGGUGCUAAAGCUGUUAGUUUUUUUUCCAUUGCUGGAAACAUUUUAAAUUUCACUUUCUAUUUGAUUUGAAAAUAGUAUGUCUUUAUAGCCUUGUUCUGAUUUUCUUACUGGCUAUGUGAACAUUAUUUGGUCUUAAAAAAAAUAAAGGAGAAAAUACU
rnacentral:misc_RNA from 1 species